rnacentral:rRNA from 1 species
UACAGAGGGUGCAAGCGUUAAUCAGAAUUACUGGGCGUAAAGGGCGCGUAGGUGGUUGUUUAAGUGAGAUGUGAAAUCCCUGGGCUUAACCUAGGAACUGCAUCUUAAACUGGAUGACUGGAGUACAGUAGAGGGUAGUGGAAUUUCCGGUGUAGCGGUGAAAUGCGUAGAUAUCGGAAGGAACACCAGUGGCGAAGGCGGCUACCUGGACUGAUACUGACACUGAGGCGCGAGAGCGUGGGGAGCAAACAGG